ensembl:lncRNA
AGCGCGUGCGGCCGCCGAGCACAUGGGCCCGCGGGCCGGGCGGGCUCGGGGCGGCCUGGACCCGGACGGGCGGCGAGGGGCCGCGCGCGGGGACGGGCCCCGGCACCCCCCGGGCCCCCCGAGCGGAUUUCCACGCCGAGAGGAUGUUGGCAGCGCCGGCGACCUGCCGAGACGCGGCGGGAUCCACCUUCCAGGUGGCCAUCUGGUGCCCACAGGAGGGCCAUGGAUGAGCAGGCUGUGGAGAUGGCACUUGGUUUCUGGUGCAGCCACCAGUUGGGACAGAAGAGGCUGGGGGCCCAAGCCUUUCCGGCGAAGGGCUGUGGCCUUCAAGUGUUCAAGCAACACCUCUCAACCUUGGAAGAAUGAAGAAAGGUUCCGGGUGGACCUCAGCUGCUGCCAUGGACAUUUUGUCAUUUAAGCAUAUAUUAUUUUGAAUGCUAGAAAUUAAGGGGACAUUUAGAAACUUCCAGAUGGCUUUGGGAACCAUUGCUCUUGGAAACUAGACUUUUGAAAAAUUCUUUUGGUGUGUUGUUUUUAGGAGGCUGUGGAUAGCUUUGAUGCAUGUUAUUUCUGUAUAAUUUCUUUGGGUUUUCUGUGUCAAUCGUUGUGUUUUAUAAAGGAGGAAAAGGGCUAAUAUUGAUCGAAUCCUCCCGUGUGCGGGCAGAACUGUUGUUACUCUCACUUUUGUCUGGCUGUUGCUGAAUGAUCCUGUGGUGGGGUGGGGGCGGUGGGGGGGGGUGCUUAUGGUGGGGGAGGGGCCUCCUUGCCUCCAGCCUGGAUUCAGACUGUCCCAGCAUUCAUAAUCUUGGAGCUGCCAGAUGUGACGGGCCCAUGCACAGCUUCCUUGAUUUAAUUUGCUGUUUCGGGUGGAGUUGUGGAUAUCAGAUGUAAUUUGAAAGGGGUGUGACUAUUCAUGAAUUUAAAAAAUAUGUGGGUACGUACGUCACAUAGGUAGUACUAUAUAUUGUCCCAAUUUGCAUGGAGAGUAAGGGUGGUCCUCUGCAAAGCAGUUGUCUUGGGAGGCCGUAGACAGAUGCCAGUAAUGUGGCCUGUGCUCAGAAAGUGCUGGGAACAUAUAGUUUGAAGGUGUGUCAUUUGGAAGAAUGUUGAGGAAUUAAAGCAAGUGACCCAGCUCACACCAUGUGGGGGUGAAAACAGGAUCUGACUUGCAAGACAGUAGGAAUAACAGCUUCUGUUUGUUAUUGAGUGCUCAUUAACUGCCAGGCACUUUUGUGGGCACUUUCUGCCAGUUAACUGAUUUCACCUUCAUAACAGCCUUGUGUUCCGAGUGCUGCCCAUCACUGUCCCCAUUCUACAGAUGAGGAAAGUUGAGACACAGAGAGGUUGACUAACUUGGCCCAAGGUCGCCCAGGUAAUGAAAGGCGGAGCUGGGAUUUGAACCCCCGGCAGUGAGGCUCCACAAGCCAGGAACUUAACUGGUUAAUAUACCAAGGAUGGGUCUGCUUUUCUUGCAGGUCUUAUAAAUAGGCUCUGAAGGUCAAGUGCAAAGAAGGGUUUGUUCAUUUAUUUAAGGAACAUUCCUGAGUCUCUUGAUGGUUUGUCAGACACUGUGCUGGGUGAGGGGGUUAGAAAGAAAAUAUCAAGGGAUCCCUGUCAUAGGCUGCAUGUCUGUUCAAUGUCUGCCUCGUCCACUCCUGUGGGGGGGGGAUGGCUUCCUCCUUGAGGCGAGGCCAGACCAUGGGACAUGCUCUGGCCAAUGAAAUGGGAGUAGAAAUGCGUCACUUCUAGGGGCGCCUGGGUGGCUCUGUUGGUUGAGCGUUCGACUUGGGCUCAGGUCGUGAUCUCACAUUCAUGAGUUCGAGCCCUGCAUCAGCUUGUUGCUCUCAGUGUGGAGCCCGCCUCGGAUCCUCUGUCUCCCUCUUUUCUCUGCCCCUCCCCCACUUGUGCAUGUGCGUGCUCUCUCUCUCAAAAAUAAAUAAACGUUAAAUGUGUGUGUGUGUGUGUAA